AUGAGUCUGCUGCAAUAUAAAACAAUAUAAAAGUUGUGAGCUUCAACCAUACGUGUUGCAAUCGUGCAUAGUGUAACAUUUCUAACAACGAUGAAGUUUUAUUAUUUGAUGGUGAUCAUCGUACCUCUGUUUUUAUUUGUGAGCACCAUUGCAGCCGAACGUAAUAAAGACACUUUUUCCGAUGGCAUGAAGAAUAUAUUUCUGGGUGUUUCUAAAGCCAUGCAAAAUUUGAAAGGGAAUGGAAGCAGCUUGGCCGAACAAACAAGUGCUCUGAGAACGAGAAUCGAAGGUGCUUUGAACAAACUUGGUAAUGGUGCAAAUGGUGGGGUUGGGUUUCAUCGAACAGGAAAGGGUCGUUCUGUAGGUGGUACUGAAAGCCCCUGAAAUAAGCAUCCUAUUACAUAUAUAGCAAUUUUCGAAACCGAAUUUUAUGAUACAGCUUCCAGUGAAAUGGAUUAGGAUCAAGCAACUUUUCAAGUUUUAUUUCGACUAUCACUUCCUGGUGAUUGUCGUAUAAAAUGCUAAUGAGGUUGGCAAUAAGUGGUCAAA